CAGCAUGCUAUCCUAAGGACCUGAGCUCUGUUUGUAGCCCCAGGUUCUCCAAGUGCAUGCAAGAAAAGUGGGUAGUCUUUGACUGUUGUGGCCUUCGUUUGCCAUGAGCAGCCACUCAACUGUCCUACAAUU
rnacentral:snoRNA from 1 species